AGCGAACGCUGGCGGCAGGCUUAACACAUGCAAGUCGAGCGGGCAUCCUUGUGGUGUCAGCGGCAGACGGGUGAGUAACGCGUGGGAACGUGCCCUUCGGUUCGGAAUAACUCAGGGAAACUUGAGCUAAUACCGGAUACGUGCGAGAGCAGAAAGGUUUAUCUGCCGAAGGAUCGGCCCGCGUCUGAUUAGCUAGUUGGUGAGGUUACGGCCCACCAAGGCGACGAUCAGUAGCUGGUCUGAGAGGAUGAUCAGCCACACUGGGACUGAGACACGGCCCAGACUCCUACGGGAGGCAGCAGUGGGGAAUAUUGGACAAUGGGGGCAACCCUGAUCCAGCCAUGCCGCGUGAGUGAUGACGGCCUUAGGGUUGUAAAGCUCUUUUCUCCGGGACGAUAAUGACGGUACCGGAGGAAUAAGCCCCGGCUAACUUCGUG
rnacentral:rRNA from 1 species